GCACAUUACAGUUCUAUCUAUAAGACUGUAUGAGUAACAAAAGAGAAACUAGAUAUUGUAUAGGCAGCUAGCAUUUUCUGUGGCAGAGUGUCUGUAUGCAUGUGUAUAAUAUUUAUGGAUAAGGCACUGGAAGGAGGGGAGUGACAUGAUGAGUAGACAGUGUGACAGUAUGUAUGUGUAUCAAUGUAACAAUGAAAUAAUAGUCAUUGUUCUCUUCAUUUUUAAUAGCAUGACCCCUCUUAAUUUAGCAGGGCAAACGUCACUCUGCUAUAGUACCUGUGCCUCAUGUUGACAAAGUGUAAGCCAAAAUAAUAUAAGUCAAAAUAAUGUGUGCAACUUGUAGUUCCUUUCCUUUACAAUCAACCUUCUCCCCAGCCCCAUUUUUUAAAUAGCAAUAAGGAAUAAUAAUAACCUAUAUGUGAAAGUCAAUAACCAAUUCUUUUUUUUUCAAUUUUUUUUUCUUUUUAAAAUUUAUUUAUUUAUUUUAAUUAGGUAUAUAUGACAACAGAAUGCAUUUUGAUUUAUUGUACACAAUUGCAGCACAGCUUUACAUUUCUACAGUUGUACAUGAUGUAGCGUCACACCAUAUGUUCAGUCAUACAUGUACCUAGGGUAAUGAGAUUCAUCUCAUUCCACUAUCUUUCCUGCCCCACUGUACCCUCCCUACCCUCCCUAUCCUUUGAUCAAUCAAAUUUCCUCCAUUUUUUCCAUGCCUACCCCCUCCCAGUUAUGGAUCAGCAUUCACUUAUCAGAUAGAACAUUCUGCCUUUGGUUUUUUGGGAUUGACUUACUUCGCUUAGCAUGAUAUUCUCCAACUCCAUCCAUUUACCUGCAAAUGCCAUAAUUUUAUUCUCUUUUAAUGCUGAGUAAUAUUCCAUUGUGUGUUUGUUUUGAAGUUUCUUUAUCCAUUUAUCUAUUGAAGGACAUCUAGGUUGCUUCCACAGUUUAGCUAUUGUGAAUCGAGCUGCUGUGAACAUUGAUGUGGCUGCGUUACUAUGGUAUGCUGAUUUUAUCCAUAACCAAUUCUUGAGGAUGGAAGAACAACCUUACCUGAACAGCGUACUCUGUACUGCCUGCCUUCCUCUGGAGUAUGACAAAAGAGAAAUGGACUGUCUUAUUUAAGAAACUGUGUUCUGAGAUCUUUUGUGAUACCCUGUCUAGUACAGUUGAAUCUAAGGUCUGGUUCUAAAAACUUAUCCUUUCUGUGAAAUUUUUGCCUUGAGAUCAUAAUUGUAUUUAGGUACUCUGAAUGUACAAG
rnacentral:lncRNA from 1 species